AGUGAACGCUGGCGGUAGGCCUAACACAUGCAAGUCGAACGGCAGCACAGUAAGAGCUUGCUCUUACGGGUGGCGAGUGGCGGACGGGUGAGGAAUACAUCGGAAUCUACUUUUUCGUGGGGGAUAACGUAGGGAAACUUACGCUAAUACCGCAUACGACCUACGGGUGAAAGCAGGGGAUCCUCGGACCUUGCGCGAUUGAAUGAGCCGAUGUCGGAUUAGCUAGUUGGCGGGGUAAAGGCCCACCAAGGCGACGAUCCGUAGCUGGUCUGAGAGGAUGAUCAGCCACACUGGAACUGAGACACGGUCCAGACUCCUACGGGAGGCAGCAGUGGGGAAUAUUGGACAAUGGGCGCAAGCCUGAUCCAGCCAUACCGCGUGGGUGAAGAAGGCCUUCGGGUUGUAAAGCCCUUUUGUUGGGAAAGAAAAGCAGCAGGUUAAUACCCCGCUGUUCUGACGGUACCCAAGGAAUAAGCACCGGCUAACUUCGUG
rnacentral:rRNA from 1 species